AGGGCAGAUUUCAGCGCUCGCGCACACUCUUUCGUUUGAGAGCGAAGCUAUAGCUGCAGCAGCGCCUAAGACCUGUCAAAGUCAACUUAGCCCUACAUUAAGCCGAUCGCGCGGAGCGCAGUGGCUUUUGGAUCGUCGUAUUGUUCGCAUAUAUAUAUAUAUGUAACGUAUUACUAUCGCGCGCGCGCGAGUGCUUUUUAUACUUAUUGCGCGUCCAUUUUUUUUUUUUUGUUUUCUUUCCUUUUCGGAAUAUAACAAUACAGUGUGGACGGAGUCGAGUUUUGUUGCACACAUAUACAUAUAUAUAUAUUAAGCGUGGAUUAUGACGAGGCGGCAUACGCUGACCGUGAAAUUACGAAGGCCGAGCCGAAGUGUGCCCUGGGGUAUCAGCAUUGCCGGUGGAUCUGAUUUGGGCACGCCCUUGGUCGUCACCCGUUCUGAGAACGAGGAGCUGCAGAAGGGUGACGUGAUCAAGAAGAUCGACGAGUACGACGUGCGCGACUUGAGGCAUGUUGACGCCCAGACACUCCUGUCAAAUUCCGAGUCCGUAAAGCUAGCCAUCGAAAGGUCCGAGUCUUACAUUCCCUCGAGAACAGACGUAUCAUCAUCGAGCAUUAUUAUCGAUAAUAAUAAUAACACUCAGUUGUCGUCCCGUACCGGCACAGUCGAAAAGCCGAAGAGCACGCAGGUGCCGCCCGUGUUGCCCAAGAGCCCGGUUCCACCUCCUGUUCCGAUCGACGUCCCGGAAUUCACGAGGUGCUCUCUUACACCCGAAAGAUUCACACCGUCGCACGAGCACAUCGACGAGGUGCGCGAGGAGAGAUUCUACCUGUCCCAGCCAUACCGCACAACGCCCCUCGUCCUCCCCGGCGCGAAGAUCAAGAAGGAUGCGCCGCUCGGCGAGUGUUAUCUGCGCCACCAUCCGAACCCCAUGGUCAGGGCUCCGCCGCACCACUACGAGGUCGCAAACCCCGAGGUCGCGAUGAAGCAGAAAGUGGCGGAAUCUGUACUUCAGCGAGUUCUGAGCCCUAACGAGCUUCCCAAGGUUGUGCACAAGCAAUUCAAUUCACCGAUCGGCCUCUACUCCGAACAAAAUAUCGCAGACACUAUUAAAUGCCAGGCCUCGGCCAUACCCAUUUUCAUAGACUUUUCCUUCCUGAAACAGAAACAGGAAAUCGAAGAGCAAGCGAGACGCAUGAAAGAGCAGGCACGAGAGGCUGCUGCGAAGAACGUGUGGCCGCAGUUCAAUAGGCCUAAUUAAAUUUUAUUAAUCUUCUCUCGCUCUCGACAGAUUCUAUUUUCUUUCUUUAUUUACCUUCCGUCAAUAAACCGAACAGACCACAGCCACACACACACACACACACACACGCACACACACCACAGACCGUGAUUUGCACAUCGAAUCUUCCAAACAACGAUCGAAAUUACAUAUACAGCACGAAAAACGAAAGCAUAUACAUUUCAAAGAUGUGUAUACGAAUGAACGACGGUAGAAAAAUCGAAAAAUACAUAAUAAACAUGUUUGACGUAGAUUUGAAACUAGUGAACAAUGAAUAAAUGCACGCGUUGCGCUUUUCAAAUGUAAACAAGAACUUGCAUGCGAUGCGCAUCAGUAUAGUGGAUAAUCGCAUAGGUUUUCACGUAGUAUACACUCGAUACUAUUAUACUAACCAAAAGUGUACCUAAUACUAUUUAUCUUUGUAAAUAAUACGCCAUCGCUCUUCGAAAACUACUGCGAAUGGAAAAAAAAUAACCGAAAACUGGCAAACCAAAGUCUCUAUCUCUCUCGCUUGCUACUAUAUCUUCUUCUACAAAACUAUUGUUGAGCAUCCAAAAGAGUAUGUAUAAGACGCGAGAUGCAAGUAUAAUUGAAUAACACCUCUUUGAGCUAGCCAAAAAGUACAGGCUUUUAUCUAAAAUUUCGUGUCUUGUUGAGAUGCACGUAAGAGCAGUUUUGAUGUAUUGAACGUAGACUCAAUUGUAUAAUCGCAACUGUGUGUCUUAUGAGAAACAAACUAAAAAGUCGGUGUGUAUUGUUACACGAACGAUCCAUGCAGUAAGAAGCCAGGCAAAUACGAUCCUAGCCAAAGCGAGGCUUACAAGGCACUUCAGGAGGAGGGCUACGAUGAUCACAUCCAGCAUGUCAGCCAGCCGACGCGUCAGGGAGUCUUCUCGCCGCAAAAAGCCAGACAAAACAGACCUGCUCCGUUCCGGCCGAAGAGUCCUGGCAUCAACAUCGUCGAUGGCGAUGGCGAGACAAUUCACCAAAGCAACAGCUUCAAAAGGAUCAUGUACAGCGUUCUUGGACAAACCGAUUACUAGAUGCAGAGGAGAAUUUCGAAGCAAAUACGAUGUAUUAAUUUCACGAAUACGCAUCUGACAUUCGCUACAAAAAAAAAAAAAAAAGUUAUUAAAUUAAACAGAAGUGGCGAAUGACCAUUCGAGUCGAACAAAUGAUACAAUAGAAAAAAGAGAAACUUAAAUUCGUCGAUAUUAUGAACAAAAAAAAAGCGUUAAACUAAUGCAUAUAAGAGAUUUUAUUUUUACAUGCAAAACCGCUCGAGAUCAAACUUAUUUUUUUAUUCCCAUUGAAAGCCCAAUUUUUAAUCUCUUCCAUUUUUUCACAGUCGGUGUAACUCUGCGCUAGCUCACUUGUACUUAUUAUAUUAAACGAUCGAACGUCAACUUUUUAAGGAGAUGAUUUAUGAAAAAAUGCUUUUAAACCGAGUAGAACGACGACGAUGAAAACCAAUGUUGAACAUGGCAAAUACUCGUGCGCGCGCGUGCUUAUGUAUAUAUGUUAUAAGUUUAUUUCGAAUCAAACUAUUGUAAGAAGAUAUUGCGAAAAUAAAUAAAUUAACAAGUAA